UACGGAGGAUCCGAGCGUUAUCCGGAUUUAUUGGGUUUAAAGGGUGCGUAGGCGGCUUUAUAAGUCAGGGGUGAAAGACGGCAGCUUAACUGUCGCAGUGCCUUUGAUACUGUAGAGCUUGAAUGUGAUUGAAGAUGGCGGAAUGAGACAAGUAGCGGUGAAAUGCAUAGAUAUGUCUCAGAACUCCGAUUGCGAAGGCAGCUGUCUAAGCGGCAAUUGACGCUGAUGCACGAAAGCGUGGGGAUCAAACAGG
rnacentral:rRNA from 1 species